GGCUACGGACCCGGGGUAGCAGGUGCUCCGUAUACUUGGGAAGCCCUGCAAAGUGCCCCUCCAACCCACCCCCCAAUUAAGGCCAAAGUCAAGUUGAGAAAGUUCCGUGAAGUAGAAAGUUCUUUUGUCCAUUGAUUCCGCAUUUAUAUUUGCAUUGCACAUAGCCAUGUCUCAUUUCGUGGAAGUCGGGAGCUCCCAGGUUAGGACCGUCGACCAGCAGCGGCUGUCAGGCCAGAAGCAGCUGCCCUGCCUAGGGAAGGAGUCACUGGCUUGACCCGGACACAAUGCCUGUUCUGGACAUCCGGCUGAAAUGCUUCCAUUUAAGAUGGCUGCCAGUGAGGAGAGCCAGGCCAUCCACUGAGCAUGUGGGACAAGGACUGGGGAUGUGAAGUUGAUGAGAAAUGGCAAGUUUGAGUAAACAGUGGGAACUACAUGACCUAAGUGGGAUGAUGUGGAGGGCUCACUUGGAACACCUCAGGAACCUAGCCUGUGAUAUGGCUUUCUAGAAUAACAUACAUGCUACCCAGAAUUGGGGCUACACAGAAGGGUCAUACUUAGGCUCAUUAGAGUUUGGAGGUUUUCCAGGUAAAUAAAAUGGGGACAAAAAGGAAAAUAAAGUGAAAACAAUUGUUCCCUAUAGAAUUUGGGGUCUGGGCCAAAUAUCGAAAUGGUGCAGUGUCCUCUACAUUAGGAGAUAAGAAGGGUUGAAAGAAAGCUGAUGAGGGUCAAGGAAUGAGGGUCCCAAUAGGUUAAGUUUGGUGGAAGCUGUUGCAGGAAUAGUUUAGUGGAUGCAGGGAAAAGAUCUUUUCCCAUCUCCUAGGUGAGGGUUGAGGCACCCAUAACUAGAAAUGAACAAGAGAAAAAGCCC